CAUCGAAGCUUGCAGAGGCAGGGAACCAUAUAAACUGCCUACUUGGGCAGGCCCUGACCAUUCCUGCUCCCAGCUGCUUUCUCUCUAUUUCUCUCAGCCUCGGACAACUCCCUGCUUUGCUGGCCAGCCACUGUCUUAGACAUUUAUGUGCCUCUGGGCACUGGAGGAACCUGAACACCACCGAGCAUGAGGCAGAAAGUCCUGUGAGAGCUUCAGUGUUGUGUGCUCAGCUGAGUGACAUCAAAAGCCCCCUUGCAUGUUGUGCCCUUGAAAGUGUUAUCCCUAGAAAAACUGGGCACAGCUAAUGUGGUGCUUUUGAGACCUGGUAACAGGCCAUGAUGACAUGAGCAUCCUUGAAAUUCUACCCGAGGUGCGGGUGAGGAGGUGGAUAUUUUUAUUUACUGGCGGCCUGUGACCUGAUCCUGUGAAAGAAUGUUCACUAAUAGGCCUGAUAUGAGUGGGAUUACUGUCACUGCUCAGUAAAGAGUGAGCCCACCAGCAGAAUAAACAUUGGCAGGAUCAAGUA